CCUCUCUCUCUUUCCCUCCCCACCACCCUCCUUAUCCUAUUGGUUCUGUCCCUCUGGAGAAUCCUGACUUACACAGUGGCUGUGUUUAAUACAGCAGUAUCCUAAGUGGGAAAAAGAACUUGGAUCCCUGAGUCACCCCCUGCUUGGAGGACAGCUACCGAAGAGAGUUGACAUUGAUAUUGGACUGUAAUCUGGGGAGCCAUCAAGUUACUAAUAAUCCAGAAGGAAGAAGGGACCUUCAGAUGAAACAAUACAAGAAAGACUUUCAAAAAGGCACGUGAAGAACAAGACAUCUGUAAUGCAGAAGGUACCAGAGUAAAUGAGCUGUCAGAAUUCAGAAAGCUUCACCAAGUAUUGUGUAAAACACGUACGUGUGUUCUCAGUGAAAAAAGAAAAAGAGAAUAGAAAGCAACGCCCUACCCAUUUAUGUGAGAAAACUGAGGGUCAUAGAGGGAAAGUGCCUCAUCCAUGCCGCCUGGCUAGUAAGACAAAACCCUGGGACUGGAACCCAUGUUUAAACCCCACUCUUUUUUUCUUCUAUUGGUAAUCAGACUUCUCCUAGAAAGUGGCCAUUCUCUAAUCACAGCUUCCAGAACUGUUC
rnacentral:lncRNA from 1 species